rnacentral:rRNA from 1 species
UACGUAGGGUGCAAGCGUUAUCCGGAAUUAUUGGGCGUAAAGAGCUCGUAGGCGGUUUGUCGCGUCUGCUGUGAAAUCCCAGGGCUUAACCCUGGGCCUGCAGUGGGUACGGGCAAACUAGAGUGCGGUAGGGGAGAUCGGAAUUCCUGGUGUAGCGGUGAAAUGCGCAGAUAUCAGGAGGAACACCGGUGGCGAAGGCGGAUCUCUGGGCCGUAACUGACGCUGAGGAGCGAAAGCAUGGGUAGCGAACAGG